CGGCCUUCUGCACACAAGUUACGCUCUAGUGCUUCUCAUAAAUCAUCUGUGCACAUAAUCUAAGGUCACCCACCAGUCGGAAUCUCACUAACACUCUCGCGACUGGUCUGUCGUACCCACUCCGCGUGGACUGUACGACUAGCAUCUACUUGGAUCCAAGGCGAGCGUGCGAUGUGGUGAAUACUAUAAGCACUAAACCAUGGUGCAGGAUUUGAGCUCAAUAUAUAUCAUCAUCAUCAUAACAGUAAUUAAAUACUCAUCUGUGCGUCCACCGCACCAUUUCAUACAUAUGCAUCAUAAAUCAAUUCUUACCUGUGCGUCCACCGCACCAAUUCAUACAUAUGCAUCAUAAAUCAAUUCUUACCUGUGCGUCCACCGCACCAAUUCAUACAUAUGCAUCAUAAAUCAAUUCUUACAUGUGCGUCCACCGCACCAAUUCAUACAUAUGCAUCAUAUAUUAAUUCAUGCAUGGCAUUUCAACUCACAUUUCUAUAUACUUUUCAUAUCAAUUCUAUGCAUGGUAUUUCACUUCCCGUUUUUCCACAUAACUCAUAUGCAUUUCAUUUUAAACAUAUUUUCAUUUCAAUUCAAUUUCUGGGAAACGUCAAGUAUAUAUAUAUACGGAAAACAAAACUGCCCACUCACCUGGAGUUCGUCCAACAACUCCCUAGCACCACACAUCAAGGCGUCAUGACGAUCGCCGCCUAGAAUAGUAAUAGUAAUCAAAUCCAGGCUCAGAAUUCAUAUCGAUAGAAUACAUAACUUAUAUAAAAUACGUCACUACGUUGAUCGAUCCGGAAGAUCUGCCACUCAGAUUUUAAAUCCAUAACUUCCAGAGGUCCACAUUAUACCUCUAGGACAACAUCCUAAAAUUUCAUUACCAUCCAACGGUCGGAUCUCCGUCAAUUUCCAAAACUAAGUGACGGUUAACAUUUUAUAUUAUGGACUUACAAUUCCAAUUCCGGAAGAUCCGUAACUCGGAUUCCCAAUCCGUAAGUUCCAAUAAUCCUCAAAUAUUACGUAUUACAACGUAUCAAAUUUUGGUGACGAUCCAACGGUCGGAUCAUCAAUUCACAUUUUCACCUAAAUGUGAAAACUAUAAAACGUUAUUUGAACACCUAACCAACAAUCCUCAAUAACUUUCUCAUACGGUGUUCAAUUUAGGUAUAUGAAUAUACCACAGUGAUCUACUCGACGUCACGGACGUCGACAUAUUUUUAAAAUAAUUUUAUUUUUAUUUUUUAUUUUUACUGUAGCACCUUCUUCUUCCUUGGGUCGCCGGACUGGUUUUUCCGGCGGCCGUUUUCCGGGCAGUUUUUCAAAUUGCCAUAACUUUGUCAUUUCUCAACGAAAUCAAGUGAUUCAAAAACGAAAGUUGUAGCCCUUGAAGAGAAAAAGAGAAUGGUACCUUGCACAACACCUAGUUCGCCGUGGUUUGGCCGGAAACUUCCUCGAAAGCCUCGGAGGUCGCCGGAAACUGGGUAUUUUUCAAAUGAGUAUAACUUCUUCAAUACUCAACGAAAUUGAGUGAAACAAAAAGGAAAGUUGUAGUACUUGACGAGACGAAGAGAUUGAUACCUACCUCGACUCCUAACUCGCCGGGUAUUCGCCGGAAAACGCCUCGAAAGCUCCGGCCAAACUUUGAACUUGUCGAUCUCCGUGUUCUUACGUCCAAAAACUUCCAACGAAGCACUCCGAGCUUCCUUGGGACCUUACUAAACUCGCUGUGAUCUUGUUUUAGCCUAAAACGUAACCAAUUCAAAGCUCAUGAACAGUGUCAUCUCACGGCAACUUUAGAACUAGGGUUUUCGAAGUGAAACUCACCUGAAAUUGGUAUCCCCGUGCUCGUGAAGUCCCCAGGAUCACGAUGGUGGUCUUAAAUGGAACGUUGGUACAAGAUUGUGGUGGUUCUUGGUGGUUGCCGUGAGUUCGAGAGUAAGAGAGAGAAUGAGAGAGUUUCAGAAAAGAAUAAGAGAGAGAGAGAGUCUGGAAUGAAAGAAGAAGAGAGAAGAAAGGUUACGGGUUUUAGGGAGGGAAUUCAGGGUAGGAGGCCCUACCUAAGUCCAAGCACAAAUUAACACAUACAAAUAUAAAUCUAACCCUAGUUUAGGAUCUUAAAGUAAAACAAAUGUCAUACAUUUACACACCUUAAUCCCGUUUAAGGUCACAUUGGUCAUCUCACGUCCUCGGAAUUAAUAAUUCCGGGACGGGCUGUGACAAUCUCCCCUCCUUAUAGAAUUUCGUCCCCGAAAUUCCAAUCACCAACCAGAACAUCAAAACUCAUAAAAUAGUCUCGGAUACAUAACUCUCAUCCGUUCUUCUGUCUCCCAUGUAAUUUUCUACUGAAUGAUUUCCUUCACAAAGCUUUUACUACUUACUCUGUCUUAAUUCUUAGGACCUUCUUUUUCCAAUCCAAAGUCGACAUUAGUUCCUCACCAAUCAGAUCCGGCUUAAUUCUCAAUAGUUGCACCAAAGUCCCAUGUAACGACUCUGCCACUUAGUGACAACGCAUCGAACACAAAAUACAUUAUGUGCCUUAGCCAAUUCUGAAGGCAUCACAAACUUGUAUGCAAGUUUAUUGAUUCCUUUAGUGAAAAAAAAAAAUGGUCUGAUGUGUCUAAAUCUUAUCUUGUCUCUUUUCCAAUUCUCGUCAUUUCUGUUCGCGGUGAAUUUUCCAAAAAUAUCAAACCAUUUACCUUACACACUCGAUUAGUGGCAUAUCCAUCUGUUGAUCUCUUUUUGCCAUUCCUGGUUACUUCAGGUUAACUUAAUCACCUGAAUACUUUGAGGAGACUCAUCCAUAGUCUCAGGGUCUACUAAAACUCUUUCUUGAUCGAAUCUUUCUCUACCCAGAAACAUUCCAUUCACAAGUCAUCAAAAACCGACUCACGUGACACAUUUCAUGGUCCUUAUGGCGUUACUUCGGAAACUGCACAACCAACAUACUUAAGAAACUUAGCAGUUCCGUAAUCCAAUUCUCUUUUCCAUAAAACAAAUUAGUAAUGUUGCACUGUCUGGGAAAGGUUGUUACUCAACACUGGAGUAAAUGUACUAACUUGUUACUUAACAAGUAUAACUUCUUCUCGAUCUUCCAUUCUUAACUUUACUUUAGUUGGUUUCCAAUCCACAAGAAGAUAAUCUUGGCAAACGUGCCAGACAUUAAUCUUACUGUAGUCUUCUCGCCAAGUGCUUGAGCUAGAACAAACUUUACGAUCACCCUGAUCGUACAAUCAUGUUCAUUAAACAAUACAAUUCACUUUCGCUGCCUCAUAUCAAAUUCCUUCCAAGUAAUGGAUAUUGAAGACUUUUUGGAUUCGUAAAAAAAAAUCUUGCAUUCCCACUAAAAUAUAAUGUCUCCAUAACUUCACAGCACGAAUGGUAAUCGUGACUUCCAAAUCACCAGUAGGGUAAUUCAUCUUAUGAGAUUCCAUUUAUCGUGAAACGUAUGCAAUCACCCUAACAUUUGCAUCAACAUGCAUCCAAUACCAUUCAAGAAACAUCACUAAAAAUUUAUGAUUACCAUUAUUCUCUGGGAUUACCAAAAUACGUGCAUGAGUGAGGAAAUACUUCAGUUGUUGAAUCCUUUGCUUACAAUUCCUUCCCACUCAUACCUAACCUCUUUUCUCAACAGUCUCGUCAAUGACAAAGCAAUGACUGAAAAAUCUUUCACAACCAUCCAAGAUAGCCUGGUAAGCUAAGAAAUUCCAAAUCUCAAUUACGACUCGUGGUUGUUCCAAAUUUUAAUUUCUGUUACCUUUUAAGGAUUCACUUGAAUACCUUAAGAAUAUAUAACAUAUCCCAGAAAUGCUGCUUGAUUCAUCCAACAUUCGCAUUUGCUAAACUUAGCAUACAACCAACGUUCUCUUAAUCUUUGCUUCACCGACUUAAUACGUUUACAUGCUCUGCUCUAGGCUUAGAGUAUACCAGAAUAUCUUCAAUGAAAAUGAUAUCUAUUUAUCAAGGCAUUAUUGGAAUACUUCAUCCAAUAACUCAUAAAACAGCAUGAGUAUCCAUAUAGCAUCACCAAACUUCAUAAAGACUAUAACGAGUCCAGAAAACCAUCUUAUGAUCAAUGUCACUUAUAAUAUUCAAUUGGUAGUAACCAGAUCUCAAUUCAAUCUUUGAAUCUUCGCAAUUACUUCUGAGCUGGUUAAAUAAACAUCAGUACAUCACCAUGGAUAACGGUUCUCAAUCGUUACCCGACUCCAUUGUCUAUAAUCAAUGAACAGUCUCAAGAUCCAUUUUCUUCCUCACCAACAAACUGGGGCUCCUCAAAAGUGUUGUACUAGGUUGAAUAAAACUUUUAUCAACCAAUUCCCUCAACUGAAUUUCCAAUUCCCUUAACUCAUCAUGAACCAAUCUCCAAUAUAAAUUUAUACCUGGCAACAAAUCAAUAGUGAACCUCAUAUCUCUGCCUGAAGGCAAUCCAGGUAUACUUUCAGGGAAGACAUCAAGAAAAGUCUAACUCUUUCGACAUUAUUCACACUACUCCAAACAACAUCAUUUAGCACCACAUGAGCUAAGUAUUUUUGACAGCCUUUCGAAAACAAUCUCUUUGCUCUCACAACAUAAAUAAUGGCUGAACUCAAUCCAUUUUGCAUACUUACAAAAGUAAUCUCUGUUCAUCCAGAUCGAUGGAAAGUACUGGUUUCCCAUAACAUUUCGUCUUGUCACAAUUAUAACCAACCAAUCUAAUGGAAAUAAUUUAACCGACACAAUACAUACUCUAUUACUACUAAGCAUUCUGAAUAAGUACAAAAUAAUCUACCGGUUUACUUACUUAACGAAUCCACGAAUGAGUUAUUAAUAUUACGGUCUGCAGCCCGCAAUACUGAUAAAUCAUCGUUGUCUCGAUAAGUAGGCAACCACUCUCAAAGAUAUAACAUUACUAUUUUGUCACUCAAUGCAAAAUACAUACACUCAUCUCAACUACAUUUAUUUACUACUCUCAAGGUAAUAACAUACAUAAUAAGAAAUAUAUCAGCCGAAGUCAACUAGAAUGAUCAAUACGACUGAUUCAACUCUUAUCUCAAUAAUACGUCGGCCGGAUCCACUCCGCGUGGUCGGUACGGCCGAGCCUAUAACUCACAAAUUUCGCAUGUGUCAAUCGAAUCCACUUCUCGUGGCCUGUACGGCUGAACAUAUAACUCAUCAAAUUUCUCUGUACUCACAGUCAAUCCGACCAAACUACUAAGUUUAUAACUCUUCUGAAUCGACACUAUGAUAUCAUGGAAAAUUAUUGAGUACAACUGAUUCUAGGGACGAUUCACAAUUCUGUGUCCCCUCUGUUCACAUAAACACAUUCAUUAAUUUCACACUUCCCAAAGUGUUAAUUUUUGUACCUGCAGCACAAGGUACAUUUCCUUUACUCGAGACACCUUGUCUCAAAUAUCUGGGAUUACCAGUAUAUCCAUCACUUUUAUUCUGACCAGCGACAUUAAAACCUCAGCUGGAAAAAUUAACUCUAGCUUCACUUCUUUCGAAGCUCUGAAUCUUUCUAUAUCCUUGAUAUGACGAAUCAUUAACUUUAUCGUCUUCUUUUAAUUCCUAUUCUUUUCUUAUUCUUCUUUAUUCUCGUUGCUCAUGUUCUCAGAGUCCUCAAGAUUCAACAACAUCUAGCAUACUCCUGAUAAGAACUACAAUGGAUAGUGGUCACCCAAAAUACCACUUCCCUUUUGUCACCCAGCUUAAAACAACAUAACACCUCCACCAAAUUAACAACAAUAUCUGGAUGGAACGAGGCUAGUCUGAAAACUUUCUAUAAUAUCCCUCGAUCAUCACCUUCCUUGUCUCAUAUUUGUAAAUUCUUGUUUACUACCAUCGAUAAAUGCCGGAGGGAUAAACUUUUCCUUUAAACAAGUCCUUAAACAAUUCUCAAUCGACUGAUUCCUCUGGUGACAACAAUUCAUACUCCUGUUUCCACCAGGAUACAAAUUCAUAACCAAAACCAGGUAGUCGUCUCGACCCCCUGUCAGAAGGAAAUUUCCUUUGACUUGCAUAAUCUGAAACAUCUUUUCCAAAUGGUUAAACCGUUACUUCGCUCUCUCAGGUUCAUCAUUUCAUAAGGUGAUUCAAGUUCAACUCAUUACCCAUCUUAAAAUGUCCCUUUAGACAAUAGACUGAAUCACCAUAGUAAUAGUUUCCCCCUAAACCGCUAAAUCAGGGAGACUAAGUUCCUCUAACUACGUGGCUUGCUACGAGGCGGUGUAGUUCUGACAGAAUUCACUAGAACUUCUCAAGAUGUCCAAGAUUGCAACCAUGCUCUGAUACCAACUGACACACCCCGUCCCGAAGGAGGGCAUGCUGGCCGUCACGUGAGAGUGACGUAACCAUUUGCACAGUACGGAAGCUUUAAGAUACAAUUUAUAAGUUGAUACACCCGAAGGUGAGUCCUAAUUUUGUCCAAUCUGUCAGAACACCGUCGAAUUCCUCGUAGUCACCACACCUUUGUGAUUCCUGAACCUGGAGGGGCGCAAAACCAAAAUUGAGUGGGUCAGUAAAACAAUUCUUUUUCCAAAUCCAAACAUUUCUCAAAACGUUGUAACCCCUCUCCGUAAAACCUGUAUACUUUCCCAGAAAUGUAAAAUAUAAAUAUACAUAUAUAUUCUCAAGACUUCAAGUCGUUAACUCAACAUUUUCAUAACAAUUAUGCCAUGCCACACAUCAUCUCAACAGUAAUAAGGUAUGAAUGCAUCAACAUAAUCAUAUCAGGUGCAAGAAAGUAAUCAACCGUAGGCCCUCUAAUAGCCCUGUACGGUUGAACCUAGAGCUCAAAAUCUAUCAUUAUCACUCUACCGGAGUCACCUCUGUGACCCGUCCGGCCUUCUGCACACAAGUUACGCUCUAGUGCUUCUCAUAAAUCAUCUGUGCACAUAAUCUAAGGUCACCCACCAGUCGGAAUCUCACUAACACUCUCGCGACUGGUCUGUCGUACCCACUCCGCGUGGACUGUACGACUAGCAUCUACUUGGAUCCAAGGCGAGCGUGCGAUGCGGUGAAUACUAUAAGCACUAAACCAUGGUGCAGGAUUUGAGCUCAAUAUAUAUCAUCAUCAUCAUAACAGUAAUUAAAUACUCAUCUGUGCGUCCACCGCACCAUUUCAUACAUAUGCAUCAUAAAUCAAUUCUUACCUGUGCGUCCACCGCACCAAUUCAUACAUAUGCAUCAUAAAUCAAUUCUUACCUGUGCGUCCACCGCACCAAUUCAUACAUAUGCAUCAUAAAUCAAUUCUUACAUGUGCGUCCACCGCACCAAUUCAUACAUAUGCAUCAUAUAUUAAUUCAUGCAUGGCAUUUCAACUCACAUUUCUAUAUACUUUUCAUAUCAAUUCUAUGCAUGGUAUUUCACUUCCCGUUUUUCCACAUAACUCAUAUGCAUUUCAUUUUAAACAUAUUUUCAUUUCAAUUCAAUUUCUGGGAAACGUCAAGUAUAUAUAUAUACGGAAAACAAAACUGCCCACUCAC
rnacentral:lncRNA from 1 species